UACGUAGGGGGCGAGCGUUAUCCGGAAUUACUGGGCGUAAAGCGCACGUAGGCGGUUCGCCAAGUUUGGAGUGACAGUUGUCGGCUCAACCGACAAAGGACUUCAAAAACUGGUGAACUUGAGGACGAGAGAGGAACAUGGAACUCCAGGUGUAGUAGUGAAAUGCGUAGAUAUCUGGAAGAACACCAAUGGCGAAGGCAAUGUUCUGGCUCGUUUCUGACGCUCAGGUGCGAAAGCCAGGGGAGCAAACGGG
rnacentral:rRNA from 1 species